GUAGGGUCCAAGCGUUAAUCGGAAUUACUGGGCGUAAAGCGUGCGCAGGCGGUUGUGCAAGACCGAUGUGAAAUCCCCGGGCUUAACCUGGGAAUUGCAUUGGUGACUGCACGGCUAGAGUGUGUCAGAGGGGGGUAGAAUUCCACGUGUAGCAGUGAAAUGCGUAGAGAUGUGGAGGAAUACCGAUGGCGAAGGCAGCCCCUGGGAUAACACUGACGCUCAUGCACGAAAGCGUGGGGAGCAAACAGGAUUAGAUACCCUGGUAGUCCACGCCCCUAAACGAUGUCAACUAGUUGUUGGGGAUUCAUUUCCUUAGUAACGUAGCUAACGCGUGAAGUUGACCGCCUGGGAGUACGGUGCAAGAUUA
rnacentral:rRNA from 1 species